UUAUCAUUUCUCAUAAACACAACGACUGAUUAUUUGCACAACAAAAUUAAUAAAGCACUAUUGUGUAGUUACAUAAGUAAAGAGAACAGGCGAGCGCCAUUGGGUUAUUUUCUGAAUGAAAGUCUGCUGACAAAAAUAAUCAAACCCUGACCAUCCCAUGCAGAAUGAGUAAAUGGGCAAUCUCUGGUAACAUCACAAGAUUUGUUAACUUUGACAUGAACAAACCCUUCAACACCGAGUAGCAUAUAAUCCAAUCACGAAAAAAAAGCAUAGCUGAGCAACCCAGAACGUGUGAUGCCUUUAUUUUGCAUGUGGACUCAUAUCAAAUAUAGCCGGUGCAGUGCAGAGCAUCUGAAGAUAUUGAACCCAUCCCGCUCACUGCGGCAUACAAAAAUUUGUUGGCAAUCGACGGCGGUCAUCUCUUGUCCGAUGGCUCAAUCCUGACCACUUCUCCUGUCAUCAAGUCACCAAAGCUUCGCAGGCAUGAAGUUUCUCAAGAAAACAUAGGAAGGUAAGUAAAAUAGGACAAACAUGAAGACACGGUUAUAACUCAUGGCAAUAUGAUAUAAUAAAUGGAUGUAGCAUUCCAACUAUAUCCAGAAGGCCAAUGCAUAAUUAUAGGUGCAUGAAAAAGUUUGAGCAGAAAACUACUGAUAUAGAAAUCCCGUGAAAUAUACUGCCUGCUGUUAGACCCCUGGAACAAUUAGACAUAUAAAACAGAGAAGAAGCGAAAAGGCAGCGCUGCAUAUCUGUUGCAAAGAAAGCAACCAUGCAUGCAUGAAGUACCAUCGAUGCCAUGUACACCACCACCAUGGCACCAUGAUCACCAUGAAGCAUCAUCUAUACCCUACGUUACACACGACCAUGAGCAGAGCAUAACAACCAUGCCAUAAAUAUCUGAUCAUCGAGAAGCACAACCUAAAACAUUGAAUGAAUGGAGCAUUACAGCCCAAGAGGUAGAAUAACACGUACCUUCACAAUGUUGUUCUAAGCAUAGUGGAAAUGCCAUGCAAACUAACUAAAGCAUGUUAAACGCUCGAUAAAGAAAUCCCUAGUAAAAAGUAUAUCAUUCAAUAUACGUACACAUGUAUAACUUUAGAGGCACUUGAUCCUUGGCAAGUAGUACAGGGGAACAUCAGGAGAAGAAGGAAAAGUUGGAAAACAUGACCGGCCUGUAUUAGCAAUUCAUGUGCGCUUGUAAAAGAAUUAGUGAGUUCAAUGUGGCCCAUCCUUCCAGAUAUAGAAAAUAUCUGUCGAUAUUUUAAAUAACCAAUAAAUUUAUCUGCAUCAUGCAGCAUAAAAUUGAAGCCCAUUAAGUUUAUGAAUAAUGCACAGAUGGAAAGCUUACAACGGAUUUAACACACAAACAUCUGAAAACUGCUACUGCCCUCCCCAACAUAUAUUCAAUAACAGAUGUAGCAAAGGUUACCUUUGACUGCAAAAACGUUUGCUUUUACUGGAAAUUGUUGAGUUCCUCCACCACAUAUGUACACAUGCAGCUAUCCGAAGUGAAAUUCUGUUUUCUGUAGCACUCAAAGUAUCACAAAAGAUAUUUAAUGAUGUCAGUUUUUUUUCUUGAAGAGACCAAGGGGAAUAAGGUUGAGAGGGGAGGACGUACAUGAUACAUCAUCCAACGGCUGCAAAAAAUGAAUACCACCUGGUAGAAACAAAUCACACAUUUAAACGUCUAAGCAAAGCAGGACAUGCAACAAAAAAUCCAAAGAGAAUAAUACCAUGGCUUUAAUGCUCCAAUCACUAUUCAGGGGUCUUGUAUCAGGCAUGCUGCUGCUACUGUCACCACUCCUGUCAGAUUUUUCUGGGCUUCUCCCAGCUGAUUACCCAGGAAUGGAUGCCCCAACUUUUUUGUUCACUGUUUCCUCAAAAUGAUUU
rnacentral:lncRNA from 1 species